rnacentral:sRNA from 1 species
CUAAGGUUCGAUUCGAGCGCAGCGAGAAAACGUUGCCGCAGGCAACGACCCGAAGGGUGAGGAGCGGAGCGACGAAUAAUCCUUCCCCCACCACCA